GCCUCCUUGGCUCAGUGGCUAGAGCGUGUCUUUCCUAUCAUGUUGGGGUCAAACCCAGCUAUUCUGGAUUAGGACGAGGUCGCGGGUUCGACCCCCGCAGGAGGUU